UCUUUUUUUGCUUGUCUUACAGAGAUGGGUGUUAUGCCUGAGAUAGCUCAAGCAGUGGAGGAGAUGGACUGGCUUCUCCCUACGGAUAUCCAAGCAGAAUCCAUCCCGUUGAUCCUGGGAGGUGGCGAUGUACUGAUGGCUGCUGAAACUGGGAGUGGAAAAACUGGUGUAAGUAAUAAAAUUUAAAUUAACAGAAAGUAAAAGUCUUUAGGUGGUGAGAGGUGUUGUGUAUGCGUAUAUG